rnacentral:ncRNA from 1 species
GCUCCAUCGUCGGGAGAGAACAGGUAGCGCAGCAUGCCUGUCGCCGAAGGCGCAACCCCCAGGAAUCGCUCAGGCAAAAGGGCCGACGACGCAGU